CAGUCGCCGCGGUAAUACGUAGGUGGCAAGCGUUGUCCGGAAUUAUUGGGCGUAAAGGGCUCGCAGGCGGUUUCUUAAGUCUGAUGUGAAAGCCCCCGGCUCAACCGGGGAGGGUCAUUGGAAACUGGGAAACUUGAGUGCAGAAGAGGAGAGUGGAAUUCCACGUGUAGCGGUGAAAUGCGUAGAGAUGUGGAGGAACACCAGUGGCGAAGGCGACUCUCUGGCCUGUAACUGACGCUGAGGAGCGAAAGCGUGGGGAGCGAACAGGAUUAGAUACCCGCGUAGUCCCUGUCUCUUAUAA
rnacentral:rRNA from 1 species